rnacentral:rRNA from 1 species
UACGGGGGGAACGAGCGUUGUUCGGAUUACUGGGCGUAAAGGGCACGCAGGCGGGAAAGCAAGUCAGGUGUGAAAUCUCUCAGCUUAACUGGGAGCCUGCAUUUGAUACUGCUUUUCUUGAGUACGAGAGAGGAUGGCGGAAUUCUUGGUGUAGCGGUGAAAUGUGUAGAUAUCAAGAAGAACACCGGUGGCGAAGGCGGCCAUCUGGCUCGAUACUGACGCUCAGGUGCGAAGGUCGGGGGAGCAAACAGGAUUAGAUACCCCCUGUAGU